rnacentral:ncRNA from 2 species
GGGGUUACCAAAUUCCGAGUCAGAUUCUCUAAGGAGACCGAUUCUCUACGAGGGCUGACCAAUGGGUGAUGUAGGAAACUGUAUUGCCUCCCUUUUGGAAAGGAAUUGGAAUAGAUUAA